rnacentral:lncRNA from 1 species
UAAAUGUUCUGAGCAUUAAGGCUUCGUUUGGGAUUGCGGAGAAAUUGCGUUACGUGCGAUGAGAAAGUACGUUGAAAAAAUAUUCUGUUUGCUUCUGUACGUAAUAUUGCGUUCCGCAUAUUGCGAUGAGUCGGUUACGAUAUAUUUUCUGCGUUCCUAUCGGAGAACGCAGAAGUAUAUCUCUAUAUAUUUUUUUCUCAACUCCAUUUUAUCUAAUAGCGUUAGAUAAAUCUUAAUACCAAACUAAGCCUAAUAAAACAACCAUUUUUCAAACAUUUUAGUUUGAAAAAAAAAAAAAGAAUU